GCAGUCGAACGGUAACAGGAAUUAGCUUGCUAAUUUGCUGACGAGUGGCGCACGGGUGCGUAACGCGUAUACAAUCUACCUUUUGCUGAGGGAUAGCCCAGAGAAAUUUGGAUUAAUACCUCAUGGUAUUAUUGAUAGGCAUCUAUUAAUAAUUAAAGGUUACGGCAAAAGAUGAGUAUGCGUCCCAUUAGCUAGUUGGCGAGGUAACGGCUCACCAAGGCAACGAUGGGUAGGGGUCCUGAGAGGGAGAUCCCCCACACUGGUACUGAGACACGGACCAGACUCCUACGGGAGGCAGCAGUGAGGAAUAUUGGACAAUGGGCGAGAGCCUGAUCCAGCCAUGCCGCGUGCAGGAAGACUGCCCUAUGGGUUGUAAACUGCUUUUAUACAGGAAGAAUAAGCCUUACGUGUAAGGUGAUGACGGUACUGUAAGAAUAAGGACCGGCUAACUCCGUGCCAGCAGCCGCGGUAAUACGGAGGGUCCGAGCGUUAUCCGGAAUUAUUGGGUUUAAAGGGUCCGUAGGCGGAUGAUUAAGUCAGGGGUGAAAGUUUGCAGCUCAACUGUAAAAUUGCCUUUGAUACUGGUCAUC
rnacentral:rRNA from 1 species